rnacentral:rRNA from 1 species
CAGCCGCCGCGGUAAUACGAAGGGCCCGAGCGUUAAUCGGAAUCACUGGGCUUAAAGCGUACGUAGGCGGAUGCGCAGGCAUCGUGUGAAAUCCCUCCGCUCAACGGAGGAACUGCACGGUGAACCGCGUGUCUUGAGAUUGGUAGGGGCUGUCGGAACGAUAGGUGGAGUGGUGAAAUGCGUUGAUAUCUAUCGGAACGCCGAAGGAGAAGUCAGGCAGCUGGGCCAAUUCUGACGCUGAGGUACGAAAGCGUGGGGAGCGAACGGGAUUAGAUACCCCGGUAGUCCACGCCGUAAACGAUGUGCACUAGGUCGAGGACACUCUGACGUGAUUCUGGUCGAAGCAAAAGUGUUAAGUGCACCGCCUGGGGAGUACGGUCGCAAGGCUAAAACUCAAAGGAAUUGACGGGGGCUCACACAAGCGGUGGAGCAUGUGGCUUAAUUCGAAACAACGCGAAGGACCUUAUCCUGGGUUUGACAUGUAUGAAUUAGCUUCCUGAAAGGGAAGUGACGCCCUUGUGGUGGAACAUACACAGGUGCUGCAUGGCUGUCGUCAGCUCGUGCUGUGAAAUGUCGGGUUAAGUCCCUUAACGAGCGACACCCCUAUCGCUAGUUGCCAUCAGGUAAUGCUGGGGACUCUAGCGAGACUGCCGGUGUUAAACCGGACGAAGGUGGGGAUGACGUCAAGUCCGCAUGGCCUUUAUGCCCAGGGCUGCACACGUGCUACAAUGGCAGGUACAGAACGAAGCAAUACCGCGAGGUGGAGCAAAUCGCAAAAACCUGCCCCAGUUCGGAUUGCAGGCUGCAACUCGCCUGCAUGAAGUUGGAAUCGCUAGUAAUCGGGGAUCAGCUACGCCCCGGUGAAUACGUUCCUGAGCCUUGUACACACCGCCCGUCAAGUCAUGGAAGCUGGCAGCGCCCGAAGUCCGCCACGAUUCAGUGGUGCCCACGGCGAGGCUGGUGACUGGGACUAAGUCGUAACAAGGUAACCGUA